GAAAUGCUUGAAAUAGGUCAAAAUUGUAGGAACUUGUCAACGAGGAGAAUCAGUAAAUAAUUUGACUAUCAAAUAAAAUAACUCAAUAAUCCCAACUCUAGCUAGAGGAUACUAAUUAUACUUUACGGGUGAGGAAAAGAAAUUGAAAUUUUAUCACGGAAGAAAAAUUUACGAAGAAUGAGUCUGUCAAGACUCAAUAGGAUAAAG
rnacentral:misc_RNA from 1 species